rnacentral:rRNA from 1 species
GGGCCCGCACAAGCGGUGGAGUAUGUGGUUUAAUUCGAUGCAACGCGAAGAACCUUACCAGGGUUUGACAUCCUGCGAAUCUCUUGGAAACGAGAGAGUGCCUUCGGGAACGCAGUGACAGGUGGUGCAUGGCUGUCGUCAGCUCGUGUCGUGAGAUGUUGGGUUAAGUCCCGCAACGAGCGCAACCCACGUCGUUAGUUGCCAGCAUUUAGUUGGGCACUCUAGCGAGACCGCCGGUGAUAAACCGGAGGAAGGUGUGGAUGACGUCAAGUCAUCAUGCCCCUUACAUCCUGGGCUACACACGUACUACAAUGGCAAGUACAACGAGUCGCAAUACCGCGAGGUGGAGCAAAUCUCUUAAAGCUUGUCUCAGUUCGGAUAGGAGUCUGCAACUCGACUCCUUGAAGUUGGAGUCGCUAGUAAUCGCAAAU